GGCGCGAUAAACAGGGAUUUUCACUCGGCGUCGGUCAAAGUAUACUUAGUCACCGGAGUCGAACGAAAGAGCCGGAUCAUUCAAUUCGCGACAGAGGAGGCGGGAGAGAGAGAGAGAGAGAGAAAGAGAGGAGCCCGUUUCCACGUACCACUCUGUGUGUCCCUACCACUUUCUUUGCCCACCAAGUGGGCAUCGCGUUCUCGUUACCGUGGUCCACGCUGCACUACUGUUCCACUAUCUCCUCAUUCACUUCGCGAUUCGACAGAGGAACACGCGCUUACCUGCCCGACACAUCCUUCUUCGCCUCGAGAAUCGUCUCCACGAAUCGUCUCAUCCUUUCGUUGUCGCGAACAAGCCUUGCCUGUCUCCUUUUCUCUCCAUUUAUUCCGCGAAAGUGAUGGAAACGGGAGCCGAGACUUCGAUCGCCUGCUCUGAUCAUCCUCCCGCGUGAAUCGAGAAAGUGCGAUCGGGAACGAAAAGAAAGAGAGGGAUGUUGGGAUUCGAGUAUAUUCGAUAUUCAAAGAUAUAAAGAAAGAAACUCAUCGUCCAUAGAAGAAUACGAAUGGAAUGGUGGAGAGCUCGAUGACGGGGGCGUGCGAUCGUGGACGAGCAACAACCGGACGGCGGUGAGGUGAUAAGGCCGGUCGCGAGGUGAAAAGUAGGCGAAAAGGAAGAGGAAGCUCAGGGGAGUGGAUAUCGCGGGCGAAGGAGAUCCAGGAUAGUGGCGGAUAGAGCGCGUGUGGCACAUUUACGGAGAGAAAACCUGUCGUCAAUGCUUUUUCUUCCUUCCAUCCGUUCUUACAUAAAGGGGCAUUUUAACCGGCCGACAGUUAAUGAACCCGGCUGUGCGCGCGUUCGUAUAGGGAACAUCCGUCGUUGACUUUA